UACAGAGGGGGCGAGCGUUGUUCGGAUUCAUUGGGCGUAAAGGGUGUGUAGGUGGCGCGCUAAGUCGGGUGUGAAAUUUCGGAGCUUAACUCCGAAACUGCAUUCGAUACUGGCGUGCUUGAGGACUGGAGAGGAGACUGGAAUUCCAGGUGUAGCGGUGAAAUGCGUAGAUAUCUGGAGGAACACCGGUGGCGAAGGCGGCAUCCUGGACCGACACUGACACUGAGGAGCGAAAGCCAGGGGAGCAAACGGG
rnacentral:rRNA from 1 species